CACUGCCGAGAAAAGCCUCUAGAUAGAAAAUAGGUGCCCGUACCGCAAACCGACACAGGUAGUCAAGAUGAGAAUUCUAAGGUGAGCGAGCGAACUCUCGUUAAGGAACUCGGCAAAAUGACCCCGUAACUUCGGGAGAAGGGGUGCUCUUUAGGGUUAACGCCCAGAAGAGCCGCAGUGAAUAGGCCCAAGCGACUGUUUAUCAAAAACACAGGUCUCUGCUAAACCGUAAGGUGAUGUAUAGGGGCUGACGCCUGCCCGGUGCUGGAAGGUUAAGAGGAGUGGUUAGCUUCUGCGAAGCUACGAAUCGAAGCCCCAGUAAACGGCGGCCGUAACUAUAACGGUCCUAAGGUAGCGAAAUUCCUUGUCGGGUAAGUUCCGACCCGCACGAAAGGCGUAACGAUUUGGGCACUGUCUCAACGAGAGACUCGGUGAAAUCAUAGUACCUGUGAAGAUGCAGGUUACCCGCGACAGGACGGAAAGACCCCGUGGAGCUUUACUGUAGCCUGAUAUUGAAAUUCGGCACAGCUUGUACAGGAUAGGUAGGAGCCUUUGA
rnacentral:rRNA from 1 species